GAUGAACGCUGGCGGCGUGCUUAACACAUGCAAGUCGAACGAUGAUCCGGUGCUUGCACCGGGGAUUAGUGGCGAACGGGUGAGUAACACGUGAGUAACCUGCCCUUAACUCUGGGAUAAGCCUGGGAAACUGGGUCUAAUACCGGAUAUGACCUUCCAUCGCAUGGUGGUUGGUGGAAAGCUUUUUGUGGUUUUGGAUGGACUCGCGGCCUAUCAGCUUGUUGGUGAGGUAAUGGCUUACCAAGGCGACGACGGGUAGCCGGCCUGAGAGGGUGACCGGCCACACUGGGACUGAGACACGGCCCAGACUCCUACGGGAGGCAGCAGUGGGGAAUAUUGCACAAUGGGCGCAAGCCUGAUGCAGCGACGCCGCGUGAGGGAUGACGGCCUUCGGGUUGUAAACCUCUUUCAGUAGGGAAGAAGCGAAAGUGACGGUACCUGCAGAAGAAGCGCCGGCUAACUACGUGCCAGCAGCCGCCGUAAAAC
rnacentral:rRNA from 1 species